AUUGAACGCUGGCGGAAUGCUUUACACAUGCAAGUCGAGCGGCAGCACGGGGGCAACCCUGUUGGCGCGCGGCGCACGGGUGAGUAAUACAUCUGGACAUGCCCAGUCGUGGGGGAUAACACUUCGAAAGAAGUGCUUAUACCGCAUACGUCCUGAGGGAGAAAGCGGGGGAUCGCAAGACCUCGCGCGCUUGGGGUUUCCGAUGUCAGAUUAGCUAGUUGGUGGGGUAAAGGCCUACCAAGGCAACGAUCUGUAGCUGGUCUGAGAGGAUGAUCAGCCACACUGGGACUGAGACACGGCCCAGACUCCUACGGGAGGCAGCAGUGGGGAAUUUUGGACAAUGGGGGAAACCCUGAUCCAGCAAUGCCGCGUGAGUGAAGAAGGCCUUCGGGUUGUAAAGCUCUUUCGGCAGGAAAGAAACGGCGAGCUCUAACAUAGCUUGCUAAUGACGGUACCUGAAGAAGAAGCACCGGCUAACUACGUG
rnacentral:rRNA from 1 species